rnacentral:lncRNA from 1 species
GGCUUUCAAGGAAAAAGUUAGAUGAUUUUCCCGGUUCGCGGAGGGUGUGUUUAGCCCCAAGCUAAACAAGGAAGGUUUUAGUCCUGCUGCAUUUCUACAGGGAAAAGGAAGAUCGUUUGCUGAAAUGAAAAGUUAGUGACAGCACUAACUUUUGCCUUAUUUAUUGAAAUAUUAGCUAAUGCCAACACCUAGGGAAACCUAGAAAUUAGACUCAAUGACCAGUAAUGAAGAAUGAUUGACGUGUGGCCUCGGCGAAUCGGGCGCUGCUGCAGGGAGAGCGCGGCGCUGCAGAGGGCCUGCCGGGGAGCGCUCCCGAGGCUCGCCGCGGUAUGAGAACAUGCAUGGAAAUGCGCCAGUGGAAUGUUUGCGGACAGACACAGAGGGCUCUUCGAGCUUCAGUGCUGCCUCCAUGCACAGAUAUUCCAAAAUGACUGCGCUUCACUCGGAGCAAGCUGCCUGUGAGGAAGUGGGCAUUUGCACCUUUCAAGCUGGAAGGUGACAACUGCAAUCUUGGGAAUUUUCAUUUGUGAGAGAGCAGACUUCAAAGAAACCUUCACUUGACUGUAACUUUGGGCUGAGGUACAAGGGUACAAGACCCUAUUCCGGGAACUCCGUCACCCAUGCUAGGCCUUACCACCUUCACCCACAACCCUCUGGGAUAUACGUCAAUAUUGUGAUUAUCUCCAUUGCACAGACAAGGAAAUUGAGACUGGAGACUUUCGACGACUUGACUAAGUUUGUGGAGCUACGAUGUGCCGGAGUCAGGCUUAGAACCCAAGCCCGUCUCACACCAGCAGUGGGACUUUUCCUGCUGCCACCUGCCGUGAAUAAUGAUCUACUCUAAGGGAAUGCCGCAGUGAACCGGAAGGCCGAGUCCAUCCAUUAU